rnacentral:rRNA from 1 species
GGCGAACGGGUGAGUAACACGUGAGCAACCUGCCCCUGACUCUGGGAUAAGCGCUGGAAACGGCGUCUAAUACUGGAUACGAACAAGAAUCGCAUGGUUACUUGUUGGAAAGAUUUUUCGGUUGGGGAUGGGCUCGCGGCCUAUCAGCUUGUUGGUGAGGUAAUGGCUCACCAAGGCGUCGACGGGUAGCCGGCCUGAGAGGGUGACCGGCCACACUGGGACUGAGACACGGCCCAGACUCCUACGGGAGGCAGCAGUGGGGAAUAUUGCACAAUGGGCGCAAGCCUGAUGCAGCAACGCCGCGUGAGGGAUGACGGCCUUCGGGUUGUAAACCUCUUUUAGCAGGGAAGAAGCGAGAGUGACGGUACCUGCAGAAAAAGCACCGGCUAACUACGUGCCAGCAGCCGCGGUAAUACGUAGGGUGCAAGCGUUAUCCGGAAUUAUUGGGCGUAAAGAGCUCGUAGGCGGUUUGUCGCGUCUGCUGUGAAAUCUGGGGGCUCAACCCCCAGCCUGCAGUGGGUACGGGCAGACUAGAGUGCGG